CAGCAAACGCGCAUGCGCCCGGCAGAUAACGGAAAGGCAUUCCGGGCAGGAAACAAUCAGGGCCAGCUAACACCUCCCAACAAAGGAUUGCCCCCUAGGCAGGCUUUGAAGCUGCCAGGCUAUUCAGUGCUAAUCAAGAAUAUUUGGAAGAAUAUACAUUGAACUGUGAGAAAAGGCCGGUAGCAGAUGCAAUAAUAGGAAAGCCUUAGGUUUGCAGCCAGUUCGGACUUCCUCCGGAUGGUGAUGUAUCGGUUGUAAUGAAACUCCUUCUCCAGCUCGAGUCUUUGGUGGUCCGAGUAGACAAUGCGGUACUUCUCGGUCGUCCUUGUUUUGCCUAUUUGGGGGGAAACAAACAAACAAAUAUCUCUGCCUGGUAUUGUUUAUCUCAAGAUUGAGUGUCUCUUAUAGGUGUAUCUUGAUCAGAUAUGGAAUGGAAAUCACAACUUGGGGUCCCCCUAACAUCUCCAGCACCAUUGAUCCAAUACAACAGCCAGCUGGGUGUCUGCUGUGGACUCAUCUUGUUGUGUUUCAAAUAAUAAUAAUACAAGUAAAACAAGCAGUCAAAGAAGAAGAACAUGCCCUGGCAGAAUAUAUAAAGCAAAGUGAAGAACUUGCUUUGAUUGAAGUCAAAAAUCUCAAACUCCUCAAAACACAGCAGACAAAGAAUCGGUACAAGAAGACUGCACCACAAACUAGAGCUGACAGCUGGAACCACAAAGCAUUGCAUGGGAAGUUCCUUGACAAAAUUGAAGGAAAAGCUGACAAGGAGAAGACCUGGCUAUGGCUCACGAAUGGGACCCUGAAGAAGGAGACAGAAGGCCUGAUCCUUGCAGCCCAGGAGCAAGACAUCAGGACAAAGGCAAUUAAGGCCAAGAUCGAAAAAUCAGCUCACGAUCGUGUUAAAAAACAAAAGUAUGGAUUGUCGAUGUUGCAAUCCCAGGGGACAGCAGAAUUGAUGAAAAACAACUGGACAAGCUGACACAAUAUGAGGAUUUAAAGUUAUUAUUAUUAUUAUUAUUAUUAUUAUUAUUAUUAUUAUUAUUAUUAUUAUUAUGUCACAGCAAACAAGAUAGAUAUGCUGGAUUUCGUAUCACAAACUCACAAGUCAAACACUUCCCAAGCGUCUAGGACUGUGAGAUGUAUUUUCGGAUGAUGUGUGCAGAUCCCAGUCCGGUGGCCUUUUGCAGUUGGCAGAUUGUAAUUUUGUCAAUGUCUAUUGUUUCCAAAUGCCGGCUGAGAUCUUUUGGCACGGCACCCAAUGUGCCGAUCACCACCGGGACCACCUGCACUGGUUUCUGCCAGAGUCUUUGAAGUUCAAUCUAUUAUUAUUAUUAUUAUUAUUAUUAUUAUUAUUAUUAUUAUUGACACAACGAUGUUGUAUGACACAGCAAACAAGAUAGGUAUGCUGGAUUUCGUUUCACAAAAUCACAAGUCGAACACUUCCCAAGUGUCUAGGACUGUGUGAUGUAUUUUCGGAUGAUGCGUGCAGAUCCCAGUAAGGUGGCCUUUUGCAGUUGGCAGAUCGUAAUUUUGUCAAUGUCUUUUGUUUCCAAAUGCCGGCUGAGAUCUUUUGGCACGGCACCCAGUGUGCCCAUCACCACCGGGACCACCUGCACUGGUUUCUGCCAGAGUCUUUGAAGCUCAAUCUUGAGGUCCUGAUAGCGGCUGAUUUUUUCCUGUUGUUUUUCAUCAAUGCGACUGUCACCUGGGAUGGCAACAUCAAUGAUCCAAACCUUGUUCUUUUCCACAACUGUGAUGUCUGGUGUGUUGUGUUCCAGAACUUUGUCAGUCUGGAUUCGGAAGUCCCACAGUAUCUUUGCGUGUUCAUUUUCCACAACCUUUAGAGGUUUGUGAUCCCACCAGUUCUUUACUGCAGGGAGGUGGUACUUGAGGCAUUAAUAAUAAUAAUAAUCAUCAUCAUCAUCAUCAUCAUAAUCAUAAUCAUCAUAAUUAUUAUCAUUAUUAUUAUUCAGGAGCCCCCAGUGUCAUAGUGGGUUAAAGCCUUGUGACUUGAAGGUUGGGUUGCUGACCUGAAGGCUGCCAGGUUCGAAUCCAACCCAGGGAGAGCGUGGAUGAGCUCCCUCUAGUAGCUCCAGCUCCAUUCGGGGACAUGAGAGAAGCCUUCCACAAAGAUGGUAAAAACAUCAAUGCCAAUGUCCCCUUGGCAAUGUCCUUGCAGACCAAUUCUCUCACACCGGAAGUGACUUGCAGUUUCUCAAGUUACUCCGGAUACAAAAAAUUAUUAUUAUUAUUAUUAUUAUUAUUAUUAUUAUUAUUAUUAUUGUUAUUAUUAGUCAACCGGGGACUUGAAGACCCAAGGUUCCUCUUGCAGGACAAAACACUCACCUCCGGCUUGACCUGGGUUUAGGAUACUGGGGUUAAAUGUAGCAGUGUGAGACUCGGCCCAAAUUGAGGAGCGGGUUGGAUGCCGAAGGGAGACAGAAGGGACAAGGCUUUGUUUCCCUCCUCAGCCAUAAAAUUCACAGGGCAUUCCUUCCGAGCACAAUAAAGGUCUCUUUUAUUUGCUGUGAAAAUUAUCACCCUUUCCGGCCAUAUAAGGGGAGAGAGAAAGAGAGAAGGAGGAAGAGAAGGGGGGGAUGCAUAUCAAAGCCAGGGAGGUGUGAAAAAGGGUAGCCAGAUAAGGCCAGGACGGAGGCCUCUGAACUGGGGACAAUGGGACCACGGGUCAGGACAGGCCGGCGACCUCGCAGCUGGUUGGUAAAGGGGAAAACAACAUCCCAUGAGACAAAAACCCCUUCGGGUCUUCCUCUUUAUGUCUCUUGACAUCCUCCUCGGCACAGGGCUGGGUCCACCUCUGGCAUCGCAGCAUCUCUGCCUUGGAAGGGGCGGGGACACCAAAGGCCAUCUAAUCCAGCCUUUGAAAAAUCUCCCCUUCUUAUUUUAGUUCUCCUCCUCCUGCACUCCUGUUUUCCUAGGGCCCUUCCAGACAGUGAUAUAAACCAGAAUAUCAAGGCAGAAAAUCCCACAGUAUCUGCUUUGAAAAUGUAUACAGUAUUUAUUAUUUCAGUAGUCUCACUUAUCCAAGCCUCGCUUAUCCAAGCUUCUGGAUUAUCCAAGCCAUUUUUAUAGUCGGUGUUUUCAAUAUAUCGUGAUAUUUUGGUGCUAAAUUCGUAAAUACAGUAAUUACAACAUAACAUUACUGCGUAUUGAACUGCUUUUUCUGUCAAAUUUGUUGUAAAGCAUGAUGUUUUGGUGCUUAAUUUGUAAAAUCAUAACCUAAUUUGAUGUUUAAUAGGCUUUUCCUUAAUCCCUCCUUAUUAUCCAAGAUAUUCACUUAUCCUAGCUACUGCUGGCCCGUUUAGCUUGGAUAAGUGAGACUCUACUGUAUUUAUUUAUUUGCAACAUUUAAAUCCUGCCCUUCUCACCCCAAAGGGAUCUCAGGGCGGCUUACAAGUUAUAUGUACAUACAAUAUGUUAUAUUAUUAGCAUAGCACAAUAUAAGUACUAUAUACAGUAGAGUCUCACUUAUCCAACGUUCUGGAUUAUCCAACACAUUUUUGUAGUCAAUGUUUUCAAUACAUCGUGAUAUUUUGGUGCUAAAUUCGUAAAUACAGUAAUUACUAUGUAGCAUUACUGCAUAUUGAACUACUUUUUCUACCAGAUUUGUGGUAAAACAUGAUGUUUUGGUGCUUAAUUUGUAAAAUCAUAACCUAAUUUGAUGUUUAAUAGGCUUCUCCUUAAUCUCUCCUUAUUAUCCAACAUAUUCGCUUAUCCAACUUUCUGCCGGCCCGUUUAUGUUGGAUAAGUGAGACUCUACUGUAUUACUAUAUUGUCCUAUACCAAUAUAUUGCAAUAUAAUUAGAAAUAUUACAUGUAAUAUAAAUAUACAAUUAUAAUAAUAUA